UGAAUACGAGAUGCUACGGCGUCGAAGCAGUGUAUGUCAGACUUCCAAGAAAAGCUCGCAAUGUCAUAAAUAAAGAAUGCCUGUACCAUAACCGACACAGGUGGGUAGGUAGAGUAUACUAAGGGGCGCGAGAUAACUCUCUCUAAGGAACUCGGCAAAAUAACUCCGUAACUUCGGGAGAAGGAGUGCCUUCUUUAAGAAGGUUGCAAUAACAAGAUCCAAGCAACUGUUUAUCAAAAACACAGGUCUCCGCUAAGUCGUAAGACGAUGUAUGGGGGCUGACGCCUGCCCAGAGCCAGAAGGUUAAAGAAGUUGGUUAGCUUUUGCGAAGCUGAUGACUGAAGCCCUGGUGAACGGCGGCCGUAACUAUAACGGUCCUAAGGUAGCGAAAUUCCUUGUCGGGUAAGUUCCGACCCGCACGAAAGGCGUAAUGAUUUGGAUACUGUCUCGGAGAGGGACUCGGUGAAAUAGACUUGUCUGUGAAGAUGCGGACUACUUGCACCAGGACAGAAAGACCCUAUGAAGCUUUACUGUAACUUGAAAUUGAAAUUGGACUUUAUUUGCGCAGUAUAGGUGGAAGGCGUUGAAAGUAAUCUUGCGGGAUUAGUGGAGCCAUCAGUGAGAUACCACUCCUAUAAUGUUAGAUUUCUAACUUUGGAUCAUGAUCUGGUCAAAGAACAGUUUCAGGCGGGCAGUUUGACUGGGGCGGUCGCCUCCCAAAUGGUAACGGAGGCGUACAAAGGUUUCCUCUGAACGGGUAGAAAUCGUAUCUAGAGUGUAAAGGCAUAAGGAAGCUUGACUGUGAGACCUACAAGUCGAGCAGGGACGAAAGUCGGUCUUAGUGAUCUGACGGUGCUGAGUGGAAAGGCCGUCACUCAACGGAUAAAAGUUACUCUAGGAUAACAGGCUGAUCUCCCCCAAGAGUUCACAUCGACGGGGAGGUUUGGCACCUCGAUGUCGGCUCAUCGCAUCCUGGGGCGGUAGUACGUCCCAAGGGUUGGGCUGUUCGCCCAUGAAAGCGGUACGCGAGCUGGGUUCAGAACGUCGUGAGACAGUUCGGUCCAUAUCCGGUGUAGGCGUUAGAAUAUUGAGAGGAGCCUUCUUUAGUACGAGAGGACCGAGAAGGACAUACCUCUGGUGUACCAGUUAUCGUGCCAACGGUAAACGCUGGGUAGCUAUGUAUGGAGAGGAUAACCGCUGAAAGCAUCUAAGUGGGAAGCCCACCUCAAGAUGAGUAUUCUCAUC
rnacentral:rRNA from 1 species